rnacentral:lncRNA from 1 species
UACUGAGAUAACGGAAGAAUUUUUGAAGUAGUAAAUUAUAACUAAUGUGGCUUGUAUGUAGAUACAAAUGCAAACUGAGUGUUGUCGUCUGAGAGAACUUUGUUUCUGUGUGUGUAGCAUUGUGGUUGUUUUUUGUUGUACUUCAGUGUUUCUGUUGUUUCGUUCUUUUCCUCAUAAAGUUGACGUGUUUCCCUCGGUUUAAGUUUGUAACCCGGGAUUUGUUUUCUCUCAAUUGAUUUAUGACUAUCGAACAGCAGUAUACUACUCUCAGUACUGUUGUGUUUAUUUGUUACUGCUUUGUGUGUUCUCUGUAGACAAUUUAUAUAUUACAAGUAGAUUGAAAUGUUUAAUAGUUAUUGGAUAAUUAUAUGUGAAGUUGGGCUCCAAGACAGUAUUUUCCCAUGUUGUAUAUCAUACAACUAUUUGCGAAUUUUAAAUGUUUAUAUGCAGAUGAUGAUAUUUCCUAAUUGAGUAUGCGAAUCAUAAAAAGAACACGAUGAACAUAACUUGCAAAAUUUUAUAAUAUUUAUGCAAAUAUUGACUGUAUGAUUAACCUGUAUUAUUAUUUCCAUAGUUUUGUACACGUUUAUCUUUCCUUUUUACAAUUUCUUU